UAAAAAAAAUUUUUAAAUGAAAAUUUCUCGAAUUUAGAAGAGCUAAGAAUUUAUAUAUUUUAAUGUAAAAUAAUUAUUUAAAAUAUUUUCUUUGUAAUUAUAUGUUAGUCGUUUCUUAUGAUAUCUAGUUUUCUUAGAAAUAAAUUUAAUUUAGUCUAAUUUUAGAAUUAAUUUUUUAAAAAAUUAAUUCUUUUUUUGGGGAAAAAUUUAAGGGGAUAAGCUUUUAAUUUUAUACUUAUAAGAUAAAAAGAAAAAUUUUAUUUAUAGGAUUAGAGGUGUUCAUUAAUAAAAGUGUGUUAUAACAAGAAAAAUUUUUAUUUGAUUUUUUUUUCUUUAUGUUUUCUAUAAGAAUAUAUGAUGAAAUUAUUGUUUUUUAGAAUUUAUGAUAAAAUUAGUAUAAAUUAAUGUAAAUUAAGUUUAAAAUUGAGUUUAAAUUAAGGAAUUCGGCAAAUUAAUUUCUUGCCUGUUUAAUAAAAACAUGUCCUUUUGUUUUAAUUUAAGGUCUGACCUGCCCAAUGAAUAUUUUAAUGGCCGCGGUAUUUUGACCGUGCAAAGGUAGCAUAAUCAUUAGUUUUUUAAUUGAAAGCUGGAAUGAAUGGUUGGACAAGGAAAUUACUGUCUCAAUUUAAUUUAAUUAGAAUUUUAUUUUUAAGUUAAAAAGCUUAAAUAGAUUUAAGGGACGAGAAGACCCUAUAGAAUUUUACAUUUAAAUUAAAUUAAGAUUUUUUGAUUUUUUUGUUUUAUUUUAAUUUUAUUGUUUUGUUGGGGUGACAGGAAAAUUUAGAAAACUUUUCUUAAUUUUUAUCAUAAAUUUAUGAUUAUAUGAUCCGUAUUUAAUGAUUAUAAGAUUAAAUUACCUUAGGGAUAACAGCGUUAUUAAUUUGGAGAGUUCUAAUCGAUAAAUUAGUUUGCGACCUCGAUGUUGGAUUAAAAUUAACUUUUGGUGUAGCAGUUAAAAAGUUAAGUCUGUUCGACUUUUAAAAUUUU
rnacentral:rRNA from 1 species